CACGUAGGGUGCGAGCGUUGUCCGGAAUUACUGGGCGUAAAGCGUGCGCAGGCGGUUUUGUAAGUCUGUCGUGAAAGCCCCGGGCUCAACCUGGGAAUUGCGAUGGAGACUGCAAGGCUUGAAUCUGGCAGAGGGGGGUAGAAUUCCACGUGUAGCAGUGAAAUGCGUAGAGAUGUGGAGGAACACCGAUGGCGAAGGCAGCCCCCUGGGUCAAGAUUGACGCUCAUGCACGAAAGCGUGGGGAGCAAACAGG
rnacentral:rRNA from 1 species